AUAACUCCGGGAAACCGGAGCUAAUACCGGAUAGUUCCUUGAACCGCAUGGUUCAAGGAUGAAAGACGGUUUCGGCUGUCACUUACAGAUGGACCCGCGGCGCAUUAGCUAGUUGGUGGGGUAAUGGCUCACCAAGGCGACGAUGCGUAGCCGACCUGAGAGGGUGAUCGGCCACACUGGGACUGAGACACGGCCCAGACUCCUACGGGAGGCAGCAGUAGGGAAUCUUCCGCAAUGGACGAAAGUCUGACGGAGCAACGCCGCGUGAGUGAUGAAGGUUUUCGGAUCGUAAAGCUCUGUUGUUAGGGAAGAACAAGUGCGAGAGUAACUGCUCGCACCUUGACGGUACCUAACCAGAAAGCCACGGCUAACUACGUGCCAGCAGCCGCGGUAAUACGUAGGUGGCAAGCGUUGUCCGGAAUUAUUGGGCGUAAAGGGCUCGCAGGCGGUUUCUUAAGUCUGAUGUGAAAGCCCCCGGCUCAACCGGGGAGGGUCAUUGGAAACUGGGAAACUUGAGUGCAGAAGAGGAGAGUGGAAUUCCACGUGUAGCGGUGAAAUGCGUAGAGAUGUGGAGGAACACCAGUGGCGAAGGCGACUC
rnacentral:rRNA from 1 species